GAUGAAGAACGCAGCGAAAUGCGAUAAGUAAUGUGAAUUGCAGAAUUCAGUGAAUCAUCGAAUCUUUGAACGCACAUUGCGCCCCCUGGUAUUCCGGGGGGCAUGCCUGUUCGAGCGUCAUUUCACCACUCAAGCCUCGCUUGGUAUUGGGCGACGCGGUCCGCCGCGCGCCUCAAAUCGACCGGCUGGGUCUUCCGUCCCCUCAGCGUUGUGGAAACUAUUCGCUAAAGGGUGCCGCGGGAGGUCACGCCGCAAAACAACCCCAUUUCUAAGGUUGACCUCGGAUCAGGUAGGGAUACCCGCUGAGUUUAAGCAUAUCAAUAAGCGGAGGA
rnacentral:misc_RNA from 1 species